rnacentral:rRNA from 1 species
GGAUCAGGUAGGAAUACCCGCUGAACUUAAGCAUAUCAAUAGGCGGGAGGGAA